rnacentral:rRNA from 1 species
CCUACGUGUGUCAGCAGUGAGGAAUAUUGGUCAAUGGACGAGAGUCUGAACCAGCCAAGUAGCGUGAAGGAUGACUGCCCUAUGGGUUGUAAACUUCUUUUAUAUGGGAAUAAACUGUUCCACGUGUGGGAUUUUGUAUGUACCAUAUGAAUAAGAAUCGGCCAACUCCGUGCCAGCAGCCGCGGUAAUACGGAGGAUCCGAGCGGUAUCCGGAUUUAUUGGGUUUAAAGGGAGCGUAGGUGGAUUGUUAAGUCAGUUGUGAAAGUUUGCGGCUCAACCGUAAAAGUGCAUUUGAGACUGGCAGGCUUGAGUACAGUAGAGGUGGGCGGAAUUCGUGGUGUAGCGGUGAAAUGCUUAGAUAUCACGAAGAACACCGAUUGCGAAGGCAGCUCACUGGACUGCAACUGACACUGAGGCUCGAAAGUGUGGGUAUCAAACAGGAUUAGAGACCCGAGUAGUC